AGGGAAGGGGAGCGAACCGCCCCGUCGGAGCUGCGGGAAAAGGCUCCGGGCCCGUCCGGCGGCUCGCGGAGCCCUGCGCCCUUCGCCCCGCAGCGAGGCGACGGGGCUGCUGCCGCGUGCCUUCCGUCGGCGGCCGGGCGCGAGACGCCGGGCGGGAGCUGUUCUGUCAGAACCGCAGUGCAGCGCCCGCAGGACGGGCCCCGGAGCCGCGAGGUGUCGGGCGGGGCUCGGGCGCGGCUAUCGGAGCUCGGGCUGAGGCGCGGGGCUGAGCGGGAGGGCGAGCCUUGUCCGAGCGCGCUGCGGGCACGGCGACUGCGGGAAGCGCGUGGCUCCUCAGCUGAGCCUGCGGCCGUGUCUCUGCAGUGACACACCUGAGUUACAGGCAUGGUUGAAACAAAGCUGAGAAAAGAGCGGCAGGUUGUACUUCCUGCACUGCGAAGCAUGGAGAGGAUCAUCCUGUACACAGCAGACAGAAGAUACACUGGGAAAACAGCUGGCUGUGAGAUUACCUAAAAAGAAUUGUCUCUUUGGGCAGAAUCUGGAAGGUAUUUCAGAAGAGAAAGGCCUAAAAUCUGAAAGAGUACUGGCAUGUUUGGCUACAAAGAUAAUGAGAGAAGAGCCUCUGAGAAGCACGACCGACAAUAUUUCAGGGAAGAAGCAGCAGCAAAGCUUGAUGCAGGAAGAACUUCGAAACAUUUGGUAGAGCCACGUGUGACUGAUCAAAAUAUUCACCCUAAAAAAAAAACAAAAAAAAACCCACACCACACAGAUUGUUAAGAUUUGCUAGAAUCCGGGAGAUUUUUCCAAUGGGACUUUAUCUACCCACAAUCACUUUGAAGACCUUCAUCCAAAUUUCUACAAUACAAAGCAAUGAGAUUCCAUAUUUUGUAGCCACAGAAGGAAAGUUACCAUGCCUGCUUAACCGCUCAGCUAGUGGUAAGAAGUUCUACAGCCCUUCUUCAGCUCCUUUCUGCCAUCCCAGGAUUUGAAAGAGUGAUGAAGUAUUUCAUCCCUUCACAGGAUUGGUUUAUACCUCAAAAGAAGCAGGUAUUUCAUAUGGCAAUGCAGGGUCAUGGAGGAGUUGACAGCACUGGAAUUGAAACAAGGUAUUUCAAAAAGACUGUGACUCUCUGAAGUGUGGACAUUGAGAGGCAGCCCCUCUUGGUUUUGACUUUGACGCUGGCCCUGAUUUGAGCAGGAGGUUGGACUAAAGGACAUCUCAGCUUCAAUUAUUUUGUACUCGGAAAGGAAACAGUCUCCUAAUUCUGGUUCAAAUAAUUUUAUUAAGCUCCUGUGAAAUCCAUCCAACCUAGGUUUUAUGUUACAGUUUUCACGUGGAUUUUUAUGUCUUUAUUUACCAUCUGAGGAUCAGCAUUAUGGAGAAGAUCGCAACUGUAGUUCUCGUAGAGGAAUAUGUAAAGGAAAAACACGAAUAAUACACUGAGAUUGUCCAGCUGUGAAAGGCCUGAUGGUCCAAGGACACUGUGAUGACAACUGCAGUGCCACACAGUCUAUUGUAUUCUCUUUGGUACUAAGAUAAAAAACAAAACACAUCAUUGCCUACAGGUCUUUUCUAAAAGAGAGAUGAACAUUUGAGUGCAAGAACCUCAAGUUCAGGAACACAAUUCAAUUUUUAGUUUUGCACACCAAUAAAUUAUUAGAAUUAAAUGGAAAAAUCCAUGUAAUCUGCACGUGCUUACCAAUUAUCUAGCUUGAUACCCAAACAGUGACUUGUAUGGACAACUUCGGGCAGUUUUACACAAGCAGUCUAUAAUCAGUUGCCUAAUCCUCACUGCAUCAUCCCACACCAAACCAGCAGGAGCAGCAGCCGAAGAAGAGCAGUUAUUCCCCUCCACACAGCACCUGAGAGAUGGCAUCUGAAGCAUCAUGGUCUUACUGGUGCAAGAUAGAUAUUGUUGUGCUGGAACAGGCCACCAGAGCGAAGAGGGGCUGGGGCACACGCAACACCCAGAGCUGGGCCUGUUCAGCCUGGAAGAGAAGGCAGAGCAGACAUCUUGUCUACCACUGCCUACAGCCACUUGCUGUGGGGUGGGGGAGUACAUGGAGGCUGUGGUGUCUGCAGAAUGACCGUGUCUUUGAAGCGAGUGCAAGAAGCUGAGGCACCUGGAGACUGCAGCUGGGUGUGACAUGGGAGUGAUGCCAAGUAAGUUCAUGUCCUUAGGUGUAAGUGCAGUGAGUGGAAGAGCAAGAGCUGGGCAGCAGACAUGAAAACUUGGCAGCUUGCUGCCCUUGGGCUCAUCUCUAACGAGCCUGGAUUGGUGCUAUGUAUGGGAGCUGCUGUUUCCCAGGAUGAGACUCUGGGGAUUGGGUUUUCUCAUCUCCCUCUUUAAAAGUUCAUGCUUAAAAUUGUCCUGAUUAGAAAGAGCCAGCAGAAAAUGAGGGCAAUAAGCAUAAGUGGUGAAACCUCAACUUCCGGUUAUGGGUUUCCUAAAUUUUUAUUUAUUUAGUUAUUUCAGUGACUCUUAGGGAAGUGGUUCUAGUUUGGAGCCCUCUUUCUAGAGAAGUUCAUGCUUGUGUGUAAUUAACGUUCCUGUCAGCUUGACCGCCAUCCUGGAAAACAGGUGUAGAGCUGCUAUAAGUAGCAAGGAGCCUCAUGCUUGCAGGGAGUUCCUCACAAACUCUAAAUUACAGUUUUGCUUCCUGUGCCACGACCUCAGGGCCCUGACCUGCAACUGCAGCAUAUUCUCUGUGACUAACAGCUGUAAUUCCCUAAUUAUCAUGCUCCAUUCUCCUGCCGUGUUGUAGAUUUUGUUACCAAGGGAGCAAGCGAUGUUUCCUCAUUCCUAUCCUUGCUCUGCACACUUCCAACUGUUUUAAAUCUGCCAUUUGAUGCAGCCCGUAAAGUCAAAUGCCUGUCUCUUGUUUCAGAUGCUCAUUGUCUCCAGAACAUAUGAUGUGUCUAUGCGCUGGGGAGGAGGGCAAAGCAAACCUUCUGGCCUUUCUUUUAGUGAAGGCUGAUGCCUUGUAGUGCUCAUCCCAGGUUCGAGUACCUUUAGUAGCUGCAGUGCUUUGGUGCAAAAUCCUAGACUAAACGUGGCCUUGCACUCAGCUUGCUCAGUGGUCACUGCUUCAUUAGACUGACUAACAGAGCUUCUGUAGAUGCUGGGAAAGAAAGGUGCAUGUAAAGCUCUGAAAGCUCUGGCUGUGUGUGUGGUGUAAUGGGGUGGUGUGCCACUGCCUGACAUAAUACUGGGGGAAACAGGUCUCUUUCAGUUAGCCUUGAAGUGGUCAGGCAGUUGGACUGGAAGAUCUUCCGAAGGUCUCUUCCAAUGGAACUAUUCCAGUCUAAUCUCUAUUCUAAAUAAUAAACCAGCUGUGUAUGCCUUAGGCUUCACUGGUGUCUGUCCUUCUCCUGAAAGGAUGCUUGCAGGCUGGCUUCUGUUCCCACCAUGGCCAUGCCCAAGACAGAUGUACAACUUGUUUUUGCCCUUGGUAGGUGUGGUGAUGAGCAGGAAACCUUUCCAAGGGUUUGUCCUCCAGCAAAUGGUAUUUUCUACCUUGCUCCAGAAAUAUUGUCUAAAUUGUGACAGAAAUGUUGCAAAAAUGUCGCAGGGUAAAAACUACUGAUUACGUGGAUUUGCUGCGUGCCUUCAGUCGUUAUGCAAAGAUGGAGGAAGUUGUUGCUUUCUCUGGCCUUUCUCUGGCUUUUGGCAGUUAUAUUUUCAAUAACUGAGCCUUGAAAAUUGAUAUGGGGGGGGGGGGAGGGGUGUGAGGGGACUACUUACUGUUCUCAGAAAGACCCUGUCAGAUGAAAUGUAGCUGUGCAAAGGAAAAACUCUUUAGACAAUAAAACAAGUAGCAUUGAACUGAGAUACGAUCUUUAAGGUCUUUAAGAUCUUUUCCAACCUGAGCAAUUCUAUGAUUCUAUGAUCAUGGUUUUACCUUCAGCCCUCCUUAGGGGCUUUGUGCAUGAGCUGGGGACCUGGAGAGCAGGGCUCAAGCACGCACUCCUGAGAUGCUCAGACCAUGGUGUGCUAGUGGAAAGAGCUUGCCGCCUCGAUGAUGGUGGUGGCAGCUUAGCAGGUGUUGGGAUUUCAUGGCGCUGUAGUGUGAUGUGCUGGAAGAUGCUGUGGUAAUGAUUAAGCUGUCAAAUACAUGCUGGAUACAAUGUCAGAGCAAAAUUGCAGGUUUUGAUGCAGUCUCGUUGUUGUUUAAAAGGGGGUUGACUGCUUCUGUGGGUAAAGUUCUGUUUUGCUUUGGUCACUCUAAAAAUGUACUAUGGUUCUAAGUGGUUGAAUAUAAAAAGCUGUGGAAGAAACGUAGCCUAACGGAGUCAGCAUAUUGCAUCCUUAUCUGCAAUGGCUGUACUUCAUACAUGGCAGCACUCACCCUGUGAUGUCAUGUUGUAACUGGUUUGGGGUCUGGUGGUGGUAUUCAGUGCACCCUUCUAUAGCAGUAAGGCACAAAGGUUGCUGGGAGUUGGCAGUGAAAGGCAGCAGUUUGCAGUGGGUUUGGUACUCACCAAUGAAGGGGAGAGAGGCAAGAGAGUGUGAACGUGCUAUGCAGUAUAUUUGUAUUGCGUUUGUAAAGCAUGUGUUAUUUGUGCUAUUUGGAUGUUGUGUAUCUCACGCGUGGCACAGCCCUGAGGUGGUACAGAUGUGCUGUGUGUGUCCUGUUUGUGGGGUUUGUGUGUGGCCACUGCAGGCCUGUGUGAUGCAUUAACUUCUUUCUUGUUCUGUCUUCCUCUGGUCCUGUGGUCUCUGUCCUGUUGCCACUGUCCCCUCGGCAGCCCUCUCCCCUGAGCACGUGUGGAAGAGGCUGAGGCACAGAGCUGCUGGCUCCUGUGGCUGCCUGGCUGUGCUGCUUGUCCUCCAGCAGCCGGAAUGGUGUUUACUGUCCCCGAGCAGCUGGCUCUUUGGCGCUGGCAUCCAUGCACUCUGGGCGUGCUCUGACAGAUUUCAUCCAGCUCGCUGCUGACUGGUGCAGUGCGUCGUCAUAUCCUUGCUGCAGCUGUUUGGGGAUGAAGAAGCCCCUGUUGGGGUGCCAGCCAGUCUGACUGCUUUGCAACAGGACACUGCCAGGAUCCCUGGUGGCUUUUUGGAAGACUGGACUUUUGUCGUGUGUCCCCACCCCCUACCAUUGUACCACACAGCCACACGGAGCUGAGAGUCCUCAGUGAAUCCACUGAGGUAAGGCCCUACCCUGCAAAUGCCUUAUCCAAGCACGUGAGCACUUGUUUUUGCACAGUGUGACCUACGCUCUCAGCCAUAAUCCUGAAACCUAUGCUACUUUUGUACAACAUGCCAGUGUUGUGCUGAAACUGGAGCAAACUGCAGGAGCACGCAUAGACCUGUCAAGAGUUUGGUGAGCAGGAGCUCAGCUGUAGAGAAUACUGGGUUGGGGUUGCCUUGUCCAGAGAACAGCACGAUGGCAGCACGUCUGCCAAAGCCAGAAGAAGGGUAAUGGCUGGAGUCUUCCAUCACUAGAACAACCAGGAUGUUAGAUGCAGCAAGUUACCCAGAAGCCAGCUGCACAGCAGUCACUCUACUCCCAGUGUGUGGAGGCCAUUGCUGCUUGCUGGUCACUUACUUAUGUCAGAGAAAUAAUAUUUUUUAAGAAUAACAAGCAGAAUUUACUCUGCUCUGUAAAUAGUUUUAUAAUAGCAAUAAACCUGAUAACUAGAUAGUUAACUGGUUAACCUGAUAGCUAGCAGGAGGAGAAGUCUGAAAACAUCUCAGUUAAGAGCCAAGAACCUCAGUGGUGCUUUGGCUCCUCACUUGCUUGGCUAUUUGUCCAUUGACUCUCUGGUUCCUACAAUAGAACAACAGUUGAUGAAAACACAAGGCCACAUCUUUGGGAAGCACUCAGUUUUGUCACAAGAGUCACAAACUCUGUUGCUGGUGCAGAAUGAAGACCUUUAUUGCAGAUGCUCACAACCUUUUUUACCCACACAAAAACCCCUUGGUCACAAGUAUAUGAGCCUUGUGCAUGUUUGCAUCUGGUGCAAGUAGCUACCAAGCUUCUUUGCUCAUAUGCAAGGUCUUUAGUUCAUGUCUUUCUUUGUCCCACAUCCCCCCCUUCUUUAUUAGUUUGAACAAUAAGCAGGUGGUUGAUAACCUUGUUAAUAUAAAGAAUAUAUACCAUUAAACAUGCAAAAACCAAAAAACACAAUAAUCCCCAUCACCUUUCCAACCCACGGUCCCAAACCUUGAUACCACCCCUCAAACUAAACCCAUGAGUUUUCAAACGUAGCUUCUGCCCCACAAACCAAAAAUUUUUUGAGGUAGUUGUUGCAUUGCUCGAUGCUGAGAGACUGGCUGCACUAUCCACAGUCCAGUUGCCUCCAUAGGCUUCAGUUGGGAAAAUACCCAGAAGGUUGUUAUGGAUCUGAAGAAGCAGCAGCAGAUGCUGAUGGUUCAGUCAAACAGGGCUUUAUGACUCUGGCUGGAACCCAUCGUGGUCCAACACCUGUGGAAACACAGGUAUAACCUCUUCCUCCACCUCCCCCCCCC